GCCUAUGAUCAUAUCACCCUGAACACACCCGAUCUUGUCUGAUCUCAGAAGCCAAGCAGGAUUAGUACUUGUGUGGAAAUGAAGUUCUAUGUCAGAGACA
ensembl:rRNA nuclear encoded rRNA 5S 198